AUGUGUCUGACUGCCUGCCUGCCUGCCUGUCCAUCCAUCCCUCUAUUUAUUUGUCUGUCUGUCCUUCUGUCUUUCUGUUCGUCCCUCUAUCUGUCUUUCUGUCCGUCUGUCUGCCUGCCUGUCUGUCCGUUCGUCCAUGUAUCUAUAUGUCUGUCUUCCUGUCUGUCUGUCGGCCUGCCUGUCUGUCUGUUCAUCCCUCUAUCUAUGUGUCUGUCUGUCUGCCUGUCUGCCUGCCUGUUCGUCCCUCUAUCUAUCUAUCUAUCUCUCUAUCUAUCUUUCUAUCUGUCUCUCCGUCCAUCUAUCUAUCUAUCUAUCUAUCUAUCUAUCUAUGUGUCUGUCUGCCUGCCUGCCUGCCUGUUCAUCCCUCUAUCUAUGUGUCUGUCUGUUCGUCCCUCUAUCUAUGUGUCUGUCUGUCUGUCUGUCUGUCUUUUCGUCCCUCUAUCUGUGUCUGUCAGUUCAUCCCUCUAUCUAUGUGUCUCUUUCUAUCUGUCUCUCCGUCCGUGUCUGUCUGUUCAUCCCUCUCUCUAUGUGUCUGUCUGUCUGUCUGUCUUUUCGUCCCUCUAUCUGUGUGUCUGUCUGUUCGUCCCUUUAUCUAGGUGUGUGUCUGUCUGUCUGUUCGCCCCUCUAUCUAUGUGUCUGUCAGUCCAUCCCUCUAUCUAUGUGUCUGUCUGUCUGUCUUUUUGUCCCUCUAUCUAUGUGUCUGUCUGUUCAUCCCUCUAUCUAUGUGUCUGUCUGUUCACCCCUCUAUCUAUGUGUCUGUCUGUCUGUCCGUCUAACUAUGUGUCUGACUGCCUGCCUGCCUGUCUGUCUGUCCUUCUGUCUUUCUGUUCGUCCCUCUAUCUGUCUUUCUGUCCGUCUGUCUGCCUGCCUGUCUGUCAGUUCGUCCAUCUAUCUAUAUGUCUGUCUUCCUGUCUGUCUGUCUGUCUGUCUGUCGGCCUGCCUGUCUGUCUGUUCAUCCCUCUAUCUAUCUAUCUAUCUAUCUAUCUAUCUAUCUAUCUAUCUAUCUAUCUAUCUAUCUACAAACCCGAUUCCAAAAAAGUUGGGACACUGUACAAAUUGUGA
ensembl:lncRNA